CAGCCGCCACGGUAAAACCGAGGAUGCAAGCGUUAUCCGGAAUGAUUGGGCGUAAAGCGUCUGUAGGUGGCUUUUCAAGUCCGCCGUCAAAUCCCCGAGCUCAACCCUGGACAAGCAGUGGAAACUACCAAGCUGGAGUACGGUAGGGGUAGAGGGAAUUUCUGGUGGAGCGGUGAAAUGCGUAGAUAUCGGAAGGAACACCUGUGGCGAAAGCGGCUCACUGGACCAUUUCUGACGCUGAUGCACGAAAGCUAGGGGAGCAAACAGGAUUAGAUACCCCGGUAGUCCCUGUCUCUUAUAU
rnacentral:rRNA from 1 species